ACACAUGCAAGUCGAGCGGUAACAGGGGUAGCUUGCUACCCGCUGACGAGCGGCGGACGGGUGAGUAACGCGUGAGAAUCUGCCCAUCAGUGGGGGAUAACCCGGGGAAACUCGGGCUAAUACCGCAUACGUCCUACGGGACAAAGCAGGGGACCUUUUGGCCUUGCGCUGAUGGAUGAGCUCGCGUCGGAUUAGCUUGUUGGUGAGGUAAAGGCUCACCAAGGCGACGAUCCGUAGCUGGUCUGAGAGGAUGAUCAGCCACACCGGGACUGAGACACGGCCCGGACUCCUACGGGAGGCAGCAGUGGGGAAUCUUGGACAAUGGGGGCAACCCUGAUCCAGCCAUGCCGCGUGUGUGAAGAAGGCCUUCGGGUUGUAAAGCACUUUCAGUAGGGAGGAAGGCUUUCGGUUAAUACCCGGGAGUACUUGACGUUACCUACAGAAGAAGCACCGGCUAAUUUCGUGCCAGCAGCCGCGGUAAUACGAAAGGUGCAAGCGUUAAUCGGAAUUACUGGGCGUAAAGCGCGCGUAGGCGGUGUGUUAAGUCGGAUGUGAAAGCCCAGGGCUCAACCUUGGAAUUGCAUCCGAUACUGGCACGCUAGAGUGCAGUAGAGGGAGGUGGAAUUUCCGGUGUAGCGGUGAAAUGCGUAGAGAUCGGAAGGAACACCAGUGGCGAAGGCGGCCUCCUGGACUGACACUGACGCUGAGGUGCGAAAGCGUGGGGGAGCAAACAGGAUUAGAUACCCUGGUAGUCCACGCCGUAAACGAUGUCUACUAGCCGUCGGGAUCCUUAGUGAUCU
rnacentral:rRNA from 1 species